AGAACGAACGCUGGCGGCAUGCCUAACACAUGCAAGUCGAACGCUCUUGGGGCUUCGGUUCCAAGGGAGUGGCGCACGGGUGAGUAGCGCGUGGGAACCUGCCCUGGAGUAGGGGAUAACCGAGGGAAACUUCGGCUAAUACCGCAUGCGCCCGGGAAACCGGGGAAAGAUUUAUCGCUCUAGGAGGGGCCCGCGUCGGAUUAGCUAGUUGGUGGGGUAACGGCCUACCAAGGCUUUGAUCCGUAGCUGGUCUGAGAGGAUGAUCAGCCACACUGGGACUGAGACACGGCCCAGACUCCUACGGGAGGCAGCAGUGGGGAAUAUUGGACAAUGGGCGCAAGCCUGAUCCAGCAAUGCCGCGUGAGUGAUGAAGGCCUUCGGGUUGUAAAGCUCUUCCGCACGCGACGAUGAUGACGGUAGCGUGAGAGAAGCCCGCUAACUCGUGCCAGCAGCCGC
rnacentral:rRNA from 1 species